UAUUAGACUUUAUACAGGUUACGACAAAAGCCCGUUUUGGCCGAUUUCCAACAAAAAAAUGAAUGAAAAUUUUGACAGACAAAUUGGAAUGGUUUGUUUACAAUUCGACUGGUUUGUUUACAAUUUGUCUGGAUUGCAAUCGUGCUAUGCUGUGAUAAGGAAGAAAUCGAGAAAGUGAGCAUCCAGUAAAAAUAUGCAUUUGUUGUGGUGAUAAGAUCCAACAUGUAGGAGUUUAACAUUGUGUCAGCAUUAUUAGCAUUACGGACCAGGAGAUAAAUGAGCGAGUGAAGUACCCAGCUAGAAAGCAUAUGUUGAAGGGAAAAUGUAUGCAGUUGCUAUAACUUGUGCGAUUUCUCAUAUACGUGUGCAGUGCAGACACAGUUUCAUCUUACGAGUUUCCUUUCCGACCAAGAACAGUUCAGUAACUAUGAAGAGGGAGGGGGGCAAAGUGCCGUAUAUUCCCAA